rnacentral:rRNA from 1 species
UUUAGUACGAGAGGAACCGUUGAUUCAGAUAUUUGGUUUUGGCGCUUGGUUGAGAAGCUAUUGGCGCGGAGCUACCAUCUGUUUGGAAGAUUAUGGCUGAACGCCUCUAAGCCAGAAACCCUGCUAGAAACGACGAUAACUACUUUUUUCGGUUUCGUACUCAGGUAAAAGUAAAAACG